AAUGAACGCUGGCGGCAUGCCUUACACAUGCAAGUCGAACGGCAGCAUGACCUAGCUUGCUAGGUUGAUGGCGAGUGGCGAACGGGUGAGUAAUGCAUCGGAACGUGCCUUUUAGUGGGGGAUAACGUAGCGAAAGUUACGCUAAUACCGCAUAUUCUCUGAGGAGGAAAGCAGGGGGCCUUCGGGCCUUGCGCUAGAAGAGCGGCCGAUGUCGGAUUAGCUAGUUGGUGAGGUAAAGGCUCACCAAGGCAACGAUCCGUAGCGGGUCUGAGAGGAUGAUCCGCCACACUGGGACUGAGACACGGCCCAGACUCCUACGGGAGGCAGCAGUGGGGAAUUUUGGACAAAGGGCGCAAGCCUGAUCCAGCCAUGCCGCGUGAGUGAAGAAGGCCUUCGGGUUGUAAAGCUCUUUCGGCUGGGAAGAAAUCGCACUCUCUAAUACAGGGUGUGGAUGACGGUACCAGCAUAAGAAGCACCGGCUAACUACGUG
rnacentral:rRNA from 1 species